CCCAAAGGUCCAAAAAACCCCAUUUGUCUUUGUGAUCCAACAGGGGGCUACAGCUUGUCCUGGGCACGGGUUUGGAAGAAUAAUCUGAUGGAUCCAUUUCAGCUUUUGAACCUGCCACUUCGAUGGUAGCCAAGCUAAAAUAAAUGGCAGACAUACCAAAUGCCCUGAUGCUGUAAUAAGCAGCAAGCUAAAUCCUCCACAGUAGUCCAAUGUAAUAAUCUAUUUUAUGAUCUACCCUCAAACAGUAAAAUUAUAAGCUAAGAAUAUUCAGUUUACUCAACCGCAAAUUGCAAUGCUACAGUAAUUAUUUUCCAGUGUGCUGAGUUCCAUUAAGAUGAAUCAGAGAUCAACAGGAAGCCUGGUGCAAGAGGCGAUCAAGUGGCGCAGACAGGAGUGCCCAAAACACACUUUGCCCUCCUCUGCGGCACCUCCUGCUGUGUGCAGCGUUGAAAAGAACCACAAAGUGACUCAGCAUUACAAAAUGACAGCAGGAAAUGACAUCAGAAGUUAUUUCUGUCUGCUCAAGAACCAUGGAUAAGUGUACAUAACCCUAUUUUUGCCCUGUGAAUAACGAAACUGGAUCCGUAUGACCCAACCACAGAUACGCAAAACCACAGGUGCUGAGACAGCAGGUUAAAAAGAUGACGAUAUGUCUAGAAAUCAGCUUAUAUUUCUAGAAAUCUGCAGAGCAAGCCACAAAUCUUCCAAACUAUUGAAUCACUGCUUCUAGGGUAGACAAGAGAUGUGAGAUGAAGAAACUUCAUGCUUUGACCACUCUUUCUCCAGACUCUGCCAGUUGUCUGUCUUUUACAAGAAGGUCAUGAUAUCGUACCCUGCCCCUCUGAAGUCCCUACUGGGACUUGAAACAUUUUCUUCUGUAAUUCUUGGGAGAAAAAAGCCACCAUCAUUCUGAAAAACAAUUUGCACUUUUUGUACUUCUUUUUCUAUUGUUUUCUACAGUUCUGAUCUGAUGCUGAAUUUUGUUCACUACCAAAUAGAGGAGAAUGAACAGUGUAAAAGUAGUGAACAAUGUUAAAGAGCAAGGCGAAAAGGGAUUCUGCUUCCGCUGCAGAGAAGUCACAAAAUGGAAGCUUAAUCCUGUAAAAUGGAAUCUCCUCAAAAUGGCUUCAGGGAAAAUAUUUCAGAGAAAAGAAAAAAGUAAAGAACAUUUAUUUUAAACCCUUAGCGUAUACUAUAUGACACUUGAUCUUAGCCAAAAGGCCGAGAAACGUAUACUAAGCAGCCAAUGCAAAGAAGAGGUUUUCCCUUGAUAUGCAGCUAGCUGUAAAAUCCUGACUUCUGUCUGGAAAUUCAAUUUUAUUAUGUAAUAUAUUUUGGAGCAAAUGUGAAGCUCUGGAGCCA